UGCAGAAACAGGAAAUAGAAUAUCAAUUAACUCACCAUAGAGUAAAAGUGGGACUAGUACAGAAAUAUUGUUCUACAAACCUAAAACAAUUUAUCUGUAAUUGAAGAAAGAAAACAUGAUGUAGAGCAUCACUGACCAAAGGGUUUGCCUAUUUCAUAAGGAUAAUUCGAAGUAAAAGCCCAGAUGGAUAGUGCUUGAGGCAAUUAGCGGAGCCAUGAUCUUCAUGUUGCAGGGGAGAAAAAAUUUUGAGGCAAAAUAUUUAUUGGAAAAGAAUUUUUUUUCAAUUUCAGAAAUUUUAAAAUGUUGCUGGGUGGUUGCCACCCCCUAGCUCCGCCUCUGCUUGGGGAGGAUUCCCGGGCCAAAUCAUAGGUGAUGUAGCACUAGAUUACACCUCUCCUAUCAACUAGAGCUUUUGGGGUAAAGUGAUUGCAUCUCCUUACAACAACAAAACACGAUAUCAUCUUGGAUUUCUACAAUUUCUAGCCAAAAUUUUACUGCCAACAUAAUUGAUGUGUCCGUAUGAUAUAAUGCGAUUAACACAAUAAUAAGGCAAGAUUUAGAAACAACGCUACUCAUGAUCCAUUUGUUUAAAAGGGGCACAAUAAUACCUAUUCAACAAACGAAAACCUUUAAAGUCGUAAUUCCAAAUAAAUCCAGCGUUUUAGCAAGUUGAAUUUCUUGAAUAGAAAUGAGAUAAAGAUUAGAUUUUAAGUGAAUUUUAAGAACAUCAAUAAUCUAAACAUCCCAUUUAUGCAAUUACUUGAUCAGCAAAUUCUUAGAAACUAAGGUGUUGACUCACAAAUACUAAAAAUUCUUUUCUUGUUUCUGGGUUGUAGCUAAAUUAUAUACCUGGGACAGCGUGGUAAGCAUGAGCAUAAUACUGAGAUGGAGGUGGAGGAGCUCCGGUGGCGCCAGGUGGCGGAACAGGCUGAGGGAAACCGAUCGCUGGCGGAGCAGGGUGAUUGGCUACACCUUGAAAUGUUCCAUACUGCGGCGGCGGCGGUUGAUCUUGGUUGUGGUGUUGACUGUCACCCUUUUCUUUACUCAUAAUUGAUCUCUCUUUUCUUUAUCCUUAUGAUCUAUGGCACAAGAAAAGUUUAUGUAUGCAAAAGAUUUUUUAUGGGAUUCAAGAAAAAUUCAGUCUUUGAUCUACUUAUGGAAGGGAAAUUGC
rnacentral:lncRNA from 1 species